UGCAGCUGGUAGCGGCACUGGAGAGGCAGAUCUUUGAUUUUCUGGGCUACCAGUGGGCACCCAUCCUGGCUAAUUUUUUACACAUCAUGGCCGUUAUUUUGGGUAUUUUUGGGACCAUCCAGUACAGAUCCAAAUACCUCAUGAUGUAUGCAGUGUGGCUGGUGCUGUGGGUCGGCUGGAACGCCUUCAUCAUCUGCUUCUACCUGGAGGUCGGACGCUUGUCGCAGGACCGAGACUUCAUCAUGACCUUCAAUACCUCACUGCACCGCUCGUGGUGGAUGGAGAACGGGCCGGGCUGCCUGGUGACGCCGGUGAUGAACUCCAACCUGGCACCCGAGGACCAUCACGUCAUCACGGUCAGCGGCUGCCUGCUCGACUACCAGUACAUCGAAGUAGUGAGCAGCGCCACACAGAUAUUCCUGGCGCUCUUUGGCUUUGUCUAUGCCUGCUACGUCAGCAAAGUGUUCCUGGAGGAAGAAGACAGCUUCGACUUCAUCGGCGGGUUUGACUCCUACGGCUACCAGGCGCCACAGAAGACGUCACACCUACAGCUACAGCCGCUCUACACGUGAGUCCGUGCCAGGCCGGGGAAAGCCUUGGGGAUGCUCAGGGCUGCAGGAGCCCCUCCAAGAUCUGGGUAACCUCCUCCUGCCCUGGAUCCAGCCCCGGCCUGCGUGGGAGCCAGAGGCAAGAGGACCCCCCUAGAGCGAACUGUCCCACACCCGAUGACACGACCCCCAGCGAGGUGGGGGGACACAACGCCGAGCCACCCGGUCCCCUCCUGCCUCCCUGAACCCUGCAAGACCCUCGAAAACGGAGCCAGGAGCUGCACAUCCAUCCCACCCUGGAUGCCUCUGAGCCCAAACCACCCACCCACAGCAGAAUUGGUGGGGGCUGGAUACAGGGGAACCCCCCCAAGCUGUGCCACCCCCUCGGGCUCCCACACCCUCCCCAGGAUGCAGACAUGGGGACACACGGGGAGGUGGCAUCGCUCGCCAGACACCGUUUUUUUCUGUUUCUCCCAGCCUGGUUUUUCCUUGGAGCAGAGGGGCCCUUCCUGGUGUGCCAGGCUGGAGGGGUCCCGGAGCAGGACUGGGACAAAAAACAUCUGGUUUGGAGCAAACUGGGACAGGGGGCAGGGGAUAAACAGUGCACUGGGGACAGCGGGGCACAGGGAGCAGCUUUGUCCUCCACAGGGUUGGGACAACUUCCCGAAAUGCCAGGUUUGGGAGUCAAGCUGGCCCUGAAAAUGGGGUUUUUGCUUCCAGAAUGAAUUUUCCAGCCCCCCUGGUUGGAUGAAACAGUGUCGGAGGGGCUCAGUCCAGGAUGCUCCCUUCACCCCGAGGAGCUGGAUCUGGCCAUCAAAGUCUUGCCUCAACUCCCAAAAUCUGGGGACAUGGGGACAGAGCACCCCAAAAUCCCUCUGCAAGCCCCCCCAUCCUUCCCCAUUUCAGGGGGGUCUUGCUCAAAUUUGGCAAUACUGAUGCUGCUUUUGACACAGCCCCUUUCAGGCUGUUUUAAUGAAUCUAAUGAAUGUUUUGGGUUGGUUUUGGUUUUGUUUUUUAAUUAUUGGGGGUUUAUUUUAAUUUAAAGUGCCUGAGUAGACUCUGGCUGAGCACGACCCCCCCAGUGAGCCUGCGCUGGCCCCCCCACAAGGCCAACAUCGUGCCUUCAGCAACACUCUACCCACCCCAGGGUUGCCCCGGUGCCCCCCGGCCCCUCGCCCAGGGCUGGUGGGGGGCAGCUUGGUGUCUCUCCAACCCCUCCCAGCCCAUCCAUCCAUUUGGGGUCUCGGUGGCAAAUCCAACCAUCAGGUUCGGCAGCAGAAGAGGGAGAUGUUGGCACGUGGGGAAUUAUUAUUGGUGCGGGGGCAAAGAAUGUGGAAGGUCCACUGGGCAGUGAUCACUUUGCAAAAUGAAGAUGAGCUGGGAAUUAAAAGCCUCAGAAGAAGCUGGAAGGAAAAAAGUAGCUUCACGAAGCAUCUCAGCUCCCCCUGAACUCCUUGUUCUUUUUUUCCUGGAGGUGGGAUGUGGUUUCUCCUGGAUCCCCGGAUCUGGUCCAAAGCCCAAACUUUGCAUCUGGGAGCAGGGAGGGGUUGCAUGACUUUUGCCUCCUAAGUGUUUUUCCUCCAGUCCUGGGGGUUAUUUGGGGAUUUUUUUUUUUUUUUUUUUUUUCACCCUGGAGUGAUUUUUAGUUUGUCCUUCCCAACAAGCAGCCAUGAAGUGCCAAGGACCGAAGCUACCCGAGCCCAAACCCUGGGCGGGGGAUGGGCUGCAUCCCCCUGCCAGCCCCUCUGCUGCCUCCAGCCAAGCUGCGAACUUUACAGGCAAUAAUUUUUCUGCCCUUUCCCCCUCUUUUUUCCAAGGAAAAUAGUGUUUUUCAGGCAACGGAUUCCCCCAGUCCCCCCAAAACACAUGCACAUCCCCAAGUUCUGCCCAGUGCCGGGGACAGCAGCAUCUCCAGGGUUUAUUUUCCUCUCCAGAAUCAAGGGUGCUCUCACUGACCUGCUGUGGGGCGGGAUGGGAUGGGAUGGGACUGGCAGACAUCCGCCUACUCAAAACCCUUCUCAAACCCAGCAGGAAGCAGAAGGAAAAACUUGUCCUCAUUUAAAACUCAUUCAAAAGAGCUUCCCUCCCUCCUGAGCUCGGCAGGAGCCAGGCACCGGUGCUCCACGACCUUUUUUUUUCCUUUCCGUUGGCUUGUUUUUAUAUAAGACUGUAUUUGUAACGUGAACCGAGGAUUUCUUUUCUAUUCUGUAAUUAUAAAAGUUGAAGGAAAGUUUCA